CCCUUAGAUGUUCCGGGCCGCACGCGCGCUACACUGACGAAUUCAACGAGCUUAUAACCUUGGCCGUAAGGUCUAGGUAAUCUCCAAAAUUCGUCGUGAUGGGGAUAGAUUAUUGCAAUUAUUAAUCUUCAACGAGGAAUGCCUAGUAAGCGCAAGUCAUCAGCUUGCGUUGAUUACGUCCCUGCCCUUUGUACACACCGCCCGUCGCUCCUACCGAUUGAAUGGUCCGGUGAAGCGUUUGGACUAUGGUUUUCUGACGGUUCGCCAUUGGAUUACCGUGGGAAAUUCGUUAAACCUUAUCAUUUAGAGGAAGGAGAAGUCGUAACA
rnacentral:rRNA from 1 species